GUCCUGCUCCUUGGGUUGAAGUGUCUGAACGUCCCGAAAAAGUGCCAGUGUAACACAAAGCGGACGGGGGCGUUGUGCUCCUUUGUGCCUCGUGAGCCUCCGUUGCCUCGGGGCGUUCGUUUCGCGCCACCUGCUGGGACUUGUAGUCCCGAGCCCGGGGGUGCCUGGGAGGCGGGAGGGGGGUUGGAGUUUCUCAGCGCCGAUUCCGCGGGAAGGGCCCAGGGGCCUCACACUUGGAGUCGCGGGAGCUGCAGGUUUUGCCGGGAGAGACGCCGCACGUGGAGCGCGCGCCGCCGCUGUUCUCCGCCGGCUGUGGAGCGCGGGCGGGGGCGACCCGGUUGGUUCCGGAGCGGGGCUGAGCUUUGAAGUACUUCAACCAUGACAAAAAGAGAAGCAGAGGAGCUGAUAGAAAUUGAAAUUGAUGGAACAGAGAAAACAGAAUGCACAGAAGAAAGCAUUGUAGAACAGCCCUACACCCAAGGUGAAUGUGUAAGCCAGGCCAUAGACAUCAAUGAGCCAAUAGGCAAUUUAAAGAAACUACUAGAACCAAGACUACAGUGUUCUUUGGAUGCUUAUGAAAUUUGUCUACAAGAAAUUCAGCUGGAUCCAGAACGAAGUUUAUUUGACCAAGGAGUAAAGACAGAUGGAACUGUACAACUUAGUGUACAGGUAAUGUCUUACCAAGGAAUUGAACCAAAGCUCAACAUCCUUGAAAUUGUUAAACCUGCGGAAACAGUUGAAGUAGUCAUUGAUCCAGAUGCUCAUCAUGCUGAAGCAGAAGCACAUCUUGUUGAAGAAGCUCAAGUGAUAACUCUUGAUGGCACAAAACACAUUACAACCAUUUCAGAUGAAACCUCGGAACAAGUGACCAGAUGGGCUGCCGCACUGGAAGGUUAUAGGAAAGAGCAAGAACGCCUUGGGAUACCGUAUGAUCCUAUACAGUGGUCUACAGACCAAGUCUUACAUUGGGUAGUUUGGGUCAUGAAGGAAUUCAGCAUGACUGAUAUAGACCUCAGCACACUCAACAUUUCAGGACGAGAAUUAUGUAGUCUCAACCAAGAAGAUUUUUUUCAACGGGUCCCUCGGGGAGAAAUUCUCUGGAGUCAUCUGGAGCUUCUUCGAAAAUAUGUAUUGGCAAGCCAGGAACAACAGAUGAACGAGAUAGUUACUAUUGAUCAACCUGUCCAAAUUAUUCCAGCAUCAGUUCAGUCUGCAACACCAACUACCAUUAAAGGUAUAAACAGCAGUGCAAAGGCAGCUAAAGUACAAAGAGCUCCAAGGAUUUCAGGAGAAGAUAGAAGUUCACCUGGGAACAGAACAGGAAAUAAUGGCCAGAUUCAACUGUGGCAGUUUUUGCUAGAACUUCUUACUGACAAGGAUGCUCGAGACUGCAUUUCUUGGGUUGGUGAUGAAGGCGAGUUUAAACUAAAUCAGCCUGAACUGGUUGCACAAAAAUGGGGACAACGUAAAAAUAAACCUACAAUGAACUAUGAGAAACUCAGUCGUGCAUUAAGGUAUUAUUAUGAUGGAGACAUGAUUUGUAAAGUUCAGGGCAAGAGAUUUGUGUACAAGUUUGUCUGUGACUUGAAGACUCUUAUUGGAUACAGUGCGGCAGAGUUGAACCGUUUGGUCACAGAGUGUGAACAGAAGAAACUUGCAAAGAUGCAGCUCCAUGGAAUCGCCCAGCCUGUCACGGCAGUCGCCCUGGCUGCAGCUUCUCUGCAAGCAGAAAAGGAUAACUGAGCCCAGGACCUGCUGGGAUUUCAAGGUAUACACAUAUAUGAAGACAUAAUGUUCAGAAGGAAAGAUAUUUCAAAAGGUUUUUAUUGCUCAUUAUAAUUUGAACAGAGACAUUUCUCAUCCAUGAUCACGCCCUUUUCUUUUUUCUCCGUUGCCUCUUAUCAUUUUAUGCAUCAUACCCCCAAUUGAUUCAAGAAAUUUCUGUUACUUUGUGUCAAGUUACGGUAAACGAUUUUCACUGUCCUUAUUGAGGUUACAGAAAGUCAGGUAGAGUUUUCCCAUAUUGAAAGAUUAUGCAAGAAAAUAUAAUUCACACUAUUCAUUCUUUGUUAUGUUUUUAUGUAUGAAUUUUUCAUAGGAGAAUUUACAAAAUAUUUAAAGGAAGAAAGAUAAAAUUAUUGGUCAUCUUUUAUACCUUAAGUACAAGAAUAAUGAAAUGUUCACUUUCGUUUUAAAACUUGUUUUCCACAUGAGGUUCUCACUGAGCCAACUUUAUAGGUAUAGAACUAGCCUGAAGCUUAGAGAUUUGUGUUGGCAUCAGAAAAUCAAAUGAGGCAGAAUUGCUCUGUGUGGUUGAUCUUCACAUGAAUCAACUAAUUAUAUUCAUUUUGUAUCAGUCUAUGUCAGUUAAUUAGGAAAAUUUGUUUAGUUGUUUUUCUCCCCUGACGAAUGGUGAAACUCAAGUAUGAUAUUUCUUUAAAGAUUUGUACCUCCAGAUAUUUACAGCAAGGUCUGCUAUUUUCCAUAUUCAUCAUUUUAUGCUACUGCCUUUAAAAAAGAACUAGUGUAUCUUUGAAAUAGCACAAAAAUGUUUUUAAAUUCAUAAUUGCAAAACAACCUGUGACUGACUAAAUGUCUUCAUAUCUAGGAAGUGUAAUAAUAUUGAUAUUUAGUGAUAUUUCACUUGCUGCCAGAAAAAAAAAAUUCUCAAUUUUUUGUAAAAGGGAGGAGGGUUUUUGCAUACAUUUUUACUCUUUAAAUAAAGACACUUAUACUGUCAUAAUAACAAUUAUGUAUUUCUUUGUGGUUUUUAUUUUUUUU